CACAGAGACAUGAAGGUAAAAAGUGUUGACCCAUUUGAGGGGCCUGAUCUGAGAUGAGUUGGGUCUGACUUUACAGUUCCCAAUGGCUUCAGUUGCAGCUGUGAGUGCUCAGCUCUUCUUCAAAUUGGAGCCCAGGAUCUCAGGUAGGGUACCCAGAAAAUGAGGAGCACACAGUUAGUGGCCACCUGUGAGAAGUUUGAUUUAGGUGACUUGCCCAGCAUCACACAGUAAUUCUGAACAGAGACAGAAUCCAACUCUCCAGGACAGCAUUCAACUGCCUUACUCAUGAGGACCAUCCUUUCAGUUUUAAGAUUUUUUUUACGUGACCAGAAACUACAGAGGACUUUACCAAUUAAGUCAGCAGAAUCCCCUAUAGAAAGGGCUUCUUCCUGGAUACACUAAAGAACAAAGAGACUCAGAAAUACCUGGGAAGUUAGCAGCAGCGCGAUAAAGAAAACAUGACAGAGUCUCUGUGGGUGAAAACGGGCUGGAAACUCCUUACUGCUUUUCAAGCAUGUUUUCCUACAAAAACAUACAUUGAUGUGUUAUUUAUAAAACUGGCUGAAACAUCUGCACUUACAGCUAGACAGCAGGCAACAGUGGUACUUUCUUCCUGUAGGUUCUCAGCAGCUUCUGAAUAAAUUAUACAAGGCAGCAAAGUAAUAAAACCAAAGAAAUUGAGCUAAAUAUUCAUGUCAUGAAUAUGUGUGCUUACUUGUUUACACCUUGCAAGGUGGAACCAUUAGCCCAACUCCUGCUCAUCAUUCUUAAGUAAAAUUCUGGUGGCUCCAACGUGGAUUACCAGAGUG